rnacentral:rRNA from 1 species
AAUGAACGCUGGCGGCAGGCCUAACACAUGCAAGUCGAACGGAUCCUUCGGGAUUAGUGGCGGACGGGUGAGUAACGCGUGGGAACAUACCCUUUGGUACGGAAUAGCCUCGGGAAACUGGGAGUAAUACCGUAUGUGGUCGAGAGACGAAAGAUUUAUCGCCAAAGGAUUGGCCCGCUUUGGAUUAGGUAUUUGGUGGGGUAAUGGCCUACCAAGCCGACGAUCCAUAGCUGGUUUGGGAGGAUGAUCAGCCACACUGGGACUAGGACACGGCCCAGACUCCUACGGGAGGCAGCAGUGGGGAAUCUUAGACAAGGGGGGAAACCCUGAUCUAGCCAUGCCGCGUGAUCGAUGAAGGCCUUAGGGUUGUAAAGAUCUUUCAGGUGGGAAGAUAAUGACUGUACCACCAGAAGAAGCCCCGGCUAACUCCGUGCCAGCCGCCGCGGUAA